rnacentral:rRNA from 1 species
GAUGAACGCUGGCGGCGUGCCUAAUACAUGCAAGUUGAGCGAACGGACGAGAAGCUUGCUUCUCUGAUGUUAGCGGCGGACGGGUGAGUAACACGUGGAUAACCUACCUAUAAGACUGGGAUAACUUCGGGAAACCGGAGCUAAUACCGGAUAAUAUUUUGAACCGCAUGGUUCAAAAGUGAAAGACGGUCUUGCUGUCACUUAUAGAUGGAUCCGCGCUGCAUUAGCUAGUUGGUAAGGUAACGGCUUACCAAGGCAACGAUGCGUAGCCGACCUGAGAGGGUGAUCGCCCACCCUGGAACUGAGACGCGGUCCAGACUCCUACGGGAGGCAGCAGUAGGGAAUCUUCCGCAGUGGGCGAGAGCCUGACGGAGCAACGCCGCGUGAGUGAUGAAGGUCUUCGGAUCGUAAAACUCUGUUAUUAGGGAAGAACAUAUUUGUAAGUAACUGUGCACAUCUUGACGGUACCUAAUCAGAAAGCCACGGCUAACUACGUG